AACACGUUCCUUAGAUCCACCUCUGGGGAGUUUGAGACUCCCGGCAGCGUCACGGCUGUACGGUCAGAGGUACUUGAGUCAUUGACGUGUGAGAUCAGUCCACCUGCUCGCCCGGCCUCUCUCCGCCCUGACCCUUCACAGGACGACACCGGGGCGGAACAGCUGGAGAGCAGACAAA